UGGUCAAAGCCAAAGACUCAAGGUGAACCCCACCCCUCCUCCGUUCCGCUUCUUUUCUCCCAAAUCCAUCUGUUGUGUUGUGCGUAAAACCUCUCUUUUUCUUUAAUCUGUUCUCUUUUCUCUCUCUCUCUCUCUCUCUCUCUCGCUCUCUCUCUCUCCCCCUGAUCACCUCCCUAUUUCUUGAACACUGUAGGAAAGGGGAGAGCAAGAACCCUCGUGUCCUCACAUUUCUCUUCUUGCAUCACCCUCUUCUUCUCCGAAAUCUCCUGAAGAGACUGAAGACAACGAAACCCUCUCUCUCUCUCUCUCUCUCUCUCUCUCUCUUUCUCUCUCAUGUCAUAUACAGAAACAGAACUGUGUUAGAUUUGUGAAGAUCUUGAGUCACUUUCCUGUCUCUGACUCUCAUGAUGACAAUGACCUCUCUCCUUCUUUUCGCAUAACAACACAGUUCCCUCAUUUUAGUCCUUACUUGCAUCAUUUAUUAUCUUCUCCCUCAUUUAGUUUUUUGCCUGCACACUUCAUUUUUCUUUUGUCUUUUUGCUGUAUAAUUGUUCGCUCCCUCCCUCUCUCCGCUCAAGUAGCUAUGCGUAAUGGGUUUGUGCUUAUGGACUUGGAUACCAAAAACAAAAAUCUCUCCCUAUAGAAAGUUGCUGAAAAAGAUCAUAUCAGACAUGAUUUUACUCAGUUUCCAUAUAUCGUCGGUUUGAGUUCAGUUCAUCUCAACAGUUGGGUGUAUUAGCAGGAGGGUUCUUUCCUGGAGGUAAGAUUUUUCCUAUCUUUUUGUCUUCGGAAAUCUGUCCCCCUUUCGGUCCAAUAAUAAAAAACGUUAAUCUGCUAAGUACAUCAAUAAAAUAACUUCACACAUGUUGGCUUGCGCCAAAUGAUGAAACCAGUGAAGUAGUACUAGGUCUCGAAUCGCCAGUUCCAAGUGCGUGGUGGGUUUUCAUUUUCUUGGAUAUAUUGUCAUUGAAGGGUUCGUAGAGACUAUUGAGUAUGAUUGAUGUAGAGACUCUUUUUGCUGAUCGCGAGUAUUCAUUGUUAGUCAAAUUAUGCAGUGUUUCCUUACCGUCUUUGCCUUGAACACUGACUCUCUGUUUGAUACUUCUCCAUGUUACCUAGUGGUGCUAAUGCAUGCGUGGAUGUUAAUAUAUUACUGAGUGAUGUUGGCUUGCUAUAUAUGCACAUACAUUUGCAGGCUCGGGCCAAAAGCAAAACGCUAGAAAAUCUGAGUGAUGUUGGCUUCAAAAAGAUUUGUGAGAGAGAGCUUUCUUCAGUCCACUCAUGGAUGGAAUAAAGGGGGUUGAAAUAGCUGCCGACUCAUUCAUUCAAUCACACAGUAGAGAAAAUGGGGCAAAUUAGUUUGUGCUUUUACUGGUGACUGUGUGAAUGAUGCGGGAGAUACUUUGCACCCCUCUUUUUCUGUGCUUGGACUGAAGGGAGCUCCUUCUCUCUCUUCUCUCUGCGAGUGCGUGUGUAGGUGUGGCCAAAUAGAGAAACCUAAUGCUAUCUCUGUUGUCAUUGUUGGAAGUUUCUUUCCAUGAAAAUCGAUCUAUUUGUUGCAUGCAAUGUGUACUCAGAACUACUGGUAAGAAACUUUUGAAAGUGACCGGUUCACGAGGAUGGAGGGAAUGACCGUAGCUAGAAGCAAUGGCCGGUGGUGGGAGCUGAUGGCCAAUAGCAAGUGACCGGUGGAGAUGGAGAUGGCUGCCCUUUGGUUGAUGCCUUAUCAUUUUAACUUGGCUUUUCUUAAUGUACAAGUGCACUGUAGCCUUUGUUACAUCGAUUAAUUCAUCUUCUCUUAUGUGAAAAAGCUGUAAUAUGUUUAUUUUGUCCUUCUCUGCAACACUUGUAAAUAGGGCCGGCCUUAAAUUGUACGCUGAAGCAAAGGAAGAAAAGAACUGGCAAGCCAAUGUGCCCGUGGGAGUUUACAUGCUCUUGAAGACUGAGAGCGAGAAGGACAAAUUUGCACAAAGAAGCUCUUCUUUCUGAUGUUUGCUUUGCAAAGUUGCUGCUAAAGCAUUGCUUUUAAGCAUCAAAUGUUGCUGAAGGCAAGAGUAAACGGAUUAAGCUGUCUUUUUCGAGAAUUAGCAUGAAGUGAUUACCUUCUGUGAUUGCUGAGUAUGAGAAAGUCUCAGAUGUAGUUUCCUAUCA